rnacentral:rRNA from 1 species
GGGGAAACACCCAACCCCUGUGACAUACCACUUGUUGCCUCGGCGGAUCAGCCCGCUCCCGGUAAAACGGGACGGCCCGCCAGAGGACCCCUAAACUCUGUUUCUAUAUGUAACUUCUGAGUAAAACCAUAAAUAAAUCAAAACUUUCAACAACGGAUCUCUUGGUUCUGGCAUCGAUGAAGAACGCAGCAAAAUGCGAUAAGUAAUGUGAAUUGCAGAAUUCAGUGAAUCAUCGAAUCUUUGAACGCACAUUGCGCCCGCCAGUAUUCUGGCGGGCAUGCCUGUUCGAGCGUCAUUUCAACCCUCAAGCACAGCUUGGUGUUGGGACUCGCGUUAAUUCGCGUUCCCCAAAUUGAUUGGCGGUCACGUCGAGCUUCCAUAGCGUAGUAGUAAAACCCUCGUUACUGGUAAUCGUCGCGGCCACGCCGUUAAACCCCAACUUCUGAAUGUUGACCUCGGAUCAGGUAGGAAUACCCGCUGAACUUAAAAAAAUCAAUAAGCCGGAGAGAA